GACGAACCGGACAAACGUUUAUUCGGAAUUACUGGGCUUAAAGGGUUUGUAGGCGGCCUUGUAAGUCAGGUGUGAAAUCCCUCGGCUCAACCGAGGAAUAGCGCUUGAUACUGCAAGGCUUGAGGGAGACAGGGGUAAGCGGAACUGAUGGUGGAGCGGUGAAAUGCGUUGAUAUCAUCAGGAACACCGGUGGCGAAGGCGGGUCUCUGGGCCGAUACUGACGCUGAGGCACGAAAGCGUGGGGAGCAAACAGG
rnacentral:rRNA from 1 species